rnacentral:lncRNA from 1 species
GCCCCACCAGCUGAUGGCGAGUUACAUGUGCUCCAGAGCAGGAAAGAGCGUCAACAGCACCUGAUAUGGUAGUCAAGUCAAGGAAUCGUCCUGUCUUGCGGCUGCAAAGUAACCGGGAGGACAGGAUGAUAGCUAAGUUGGCUUCCCGUUGCGCCUUGGCAAGGUGUGUGGCCUGGUCACAUGAAUGUACCUGCAUCAGGUACAGCGAUUAUCGUACACUCUUACAGCGAUUAUCGUACACGCUCUGCCUUGCGUUCUCUGAUUGCGUUCAUGCAGGUUGGGAAGCAUGCACCUACUUUGACUUCGCCCAUCCCACGUCCAAGG